rnacentral:tRNA from 1 species
GAGGGGAUAGCUCAGUGGUAGAGCGCAUGCUUAGCAUGCACCAGGUCCUGGGUUCAAUCCCCAGUACCUCCA